rnacentral:misc_RNA from 2 species
ACGGACUUUGACUCCGU